CACUAGAUGGCUGAAAACAAGCAAUGGAAUUUUAAACCAUAAAAUAGUAAAAUAGUGAUUACUUCUAGUGG
rnacentral:tRNA from 1 species